rnacentral:rRNA from 1 species
ACGCUCGACACCUACGGAGGCAGCAGUGGGGAAUAUUGCACAAUGGAGGGAAACUCUGAUGCAGCGAUGCCGCGUGAGGGAAGAAGGUUUUCGGAUUGUAAACCUCUGUCUUUGGGGACGAUAAUGACGGUACCCAAGGAGGAAGCUCCGGCUAACUACGUGCCAGCAGCCGUGGUAAUCUGAGCGGGCUGGCAAGGC